GCUAGACUCGGCAGGUGUGGUAAUCAAGAGGCAUCUAAGUAUUUGACAUAUUUUAUCUCUGUGUUAGAAAAGGAGAAUCUCAAGAGAUCAGAAGAGCA